CUCCUCCCUCCAUCGUCAGCCACCAGCGAUGCCGACACCUAGUCCAUCUGCACGGCUGCUCUCCCCGUGUCUCCCAGCUCUGGUCCCUCUCUCACACCUGUGUAGUUGCGGUAUUGUUUCUCUCCUCCAAGUCUCGGAAGGCUUUCAUGUAAUUAAUGUGAUGGGGGAAAAGGAAGAUGGAAUGGUACCCAGGCCUUCGACUUCGACUUCAUUAAUGACGUCUGAAAAUACAUUUGGCCCUCCAAAUGAUUACCAUCAUAAUUAUGGUUCAAAUAUGUCCUACCCUUUGCCUCCUAGUAAUCCGGAUAACUUAAGGCCAGUUUUUCGAUCGGUGGAGAGUAUGAAGAAAAUGUUGAUUGUACAUUUUCUUCAGCUGCUGAUGGUAUGACACUUUUUUUUGCUUUAACUUUAAUGACACUAAUAUUGAAUUUCUGCUAAUCCAUCUCUAUAUGGAAACCUGUUCAGAAAUGUUAUUUGACAUAAAUGAAGAUUUAGAGGGUACCACUGUUAUGUCGGAUGAUGAGGUACAGGUCAAAGCACUAAGAUCAGGUAUGGAAUUUGCUAGUGAGAAGGAGGUUAUGGACUAUUAUAAGAAAUAUGCCAAGCAAAAAGGGUUUGGUGUAAGGACACAGAGGACUAAGAGAGAUGAUGAUGGGAGAUUUGUGUAUAUCACUAUUGGUUAUGCUCGUGGCGGAAAAUACGUACCUAAGAACAUCAAUAUGUCGAAGCCACGUGCAACAACUAAAACAGAUUGUAAAGCGAAGAUAAAUGUGACGUUGAACAAGAACGAGAUAUGGGUGAUCACUACAGUCGAAAGUAUGCACAACCACAUUACUAUCAGCCCCAAGAAGACAAGACUCUUGCGAUCUCACAAGCAUCUUGAUGAGCACAGUCAAAGGAUCCUUGACCUCAACGACAGAGCCGGAAUUCGUAUGAACAAGAAUUAUUUUUCUCUUGUCGUUGAGGCGGGUGGUUUUGAGAAUCUAGAGUUCCAAGAGAGGGAUUGUCGGAAUUUCAUUGACAAGGCUAGACAUCUAAGGUUGGGUAAAGGAGGUGGCGAUGCCCUUUAUGAGUAUUUUCAGAGAAUGAGAAAUCAGAAUGAUGGUUUCGUUUCUUCCAUGGAUGUCGAUGAUGAUGGAAGGUUAUAGAAUGUAUUUUGGGCUGAUGCUAGGAGUCGGGCGGCCUACGAGUACUUCGGAGACGUUGUGACCUUCGAUACAACGUACCUAACAAACCGAUACGGGAUGCCCUUCGCCCUGUUUGUUGGCGUUAAUCAUCAUGGUCAGUCCAUACUCCUAGGGGCGGGGUUAUUGUCAAGUGAGGACACACACUCCUUUGUUUGGUUGUUCUGCACAUGGUUGGAUUGCAUGAACGGUCAAGCGCCCAAAGCCAUCAUAACGGACCAGGACCGGGCAAUGAAGAAUGCAAUCCAGAUGGUAUUUCCGGAAACCCACCAUAGAUAUUGUCUAUGGAAAACUUCCAGAGAAGCUAGGAUCUCACUCUCAUUUCAGUACAGGGUUGAAGACUUCCAUUCAGUCAGCAUUGUAUGAUUCACAGUCCUGCACGGAAUUUGAGGAAAGGUGGGGUGAACUUCUUGAUAAGUAUGAUCUGAGGAGUAAUAAUUGGCUCACGUCCUUAUAUGAGGAGAUGACUUUUUGGGUCCCGGUUUAUUUGAAGGAUGUAUUUUGGGCGGGUAUGAGCACGACACAACGGUCAGAAAGCAUGAAUGCUUUCUUUGAUGAGUAUUUUCUGGUACCACCUUGAAGGAAUUCGUGGACCAAUUUGAUAAUGCUUUAAGAAAUAAGGUUGAGGUAGAGACAACGGCGGAUUUCAACUCUAGUAACCAAAUCAUCCCCUGCGUUUCCCCUUUCAACUUUGAGAAACAUUUUCAGAAGGUAUACACAAAUGCAAAAAUUUAAAGAGUUUCAAAAAGAGUUGAUGGGCCUAAUGUGCUGUAAUUGCACAUUGGUAAGCAAGCAGGGGUGCAUUUUGACCUUCGAUAUCUUGGAUGAAAUCUCUAUUCAUGAGUGUACCAAAAUAGUCCACUACACACUUUAUUAUAAUGAAGAGGAAUGCGAGAUAAAAUGCACGUGUGCAUUGUUUCAGAUGAGGGAAAUUUUAUGUAGGCAUGCACUUAAAGUUUUGCAUUUGUCCAGAAUUAACGUGGUGCGAGAUAAAUAUGUCUUGGCCCGCUGGAGGAAGGAUGAGAAGAGGACGUACACAUUGAUCAAAAGUAGUUAUGAUGAUGUGCGUGGGAGUGGAGACUGUAGGAGGUAUGAAAGGGUGGUUAAAAGAUGCAUGAAAUUAGCAACUAAAAUAUCCAUAAGUGAACAGAAAGUCAAUGCAUUCCUGCGCAUUGUCGAUGACUUUGAUUCAAACUGUGAUGAUGAUACAUUUGGUGGGAGAUCCGAGUCAAUGAAGGUUGGACCUAACGUUGUCACGGAUAAAAGUAAGAAGAUAUUAAGCCCCCAUGUGGUUCGAGGUAAAGGAAGACCACCAAGUAAGAGAAAGGUUCCGCCUGUGAAGAAGAUGGCAAAAAAGAGAAAGGCUUGCAGGAAAUUAUCCGUUGAUGACACUGAAACGUGUGCCAUCCCGGGAUCCCUUCACCACCAACAAGAUGAAGGGAUCGGUGUUGGGACACAAAACAGCAUGAUCACAGAGCAUAUGCCAACAGGAAAUCAGGAGGUCUUCGGCUAUUGGUUAAAUGUGUCUUUUCAUUUGUAUUUUUCCUAUUAAAAGAUUAUAUGAAAGAUUAAGCAUUUUGUUUACAUUAUAGUUGUUUUCUUCCAGAUGUGCCGUGAUAAUUGAGUUGCUGUUUUUGUGUUUGGUUAGUAAUGGUCAUGGUUGUUUUUGUCCAUUCUCAUAAGUGGUUUUUUUGUCCAAAUGGAGAGGGUUGUAGUUCUAUUUGUGAAUAUGCAAAGUGUUUUUUUUUUUUUGGCUUUCUAAUGGAGAUUGAUGUGUGUAUAGGUGUAAUAUGCAUAGUGUUGAAAAUGUGGUCACAGUUUCAAAUGGGUUGUGUGUAUGGGGUGAAUAUGCAAAUGGGAGUUCAAUUUUGUCCAUUUUCAGACGGGUUGUGCGUAUCGUGUGGUUAUAUGCUUAUAUUCCAAUUUUAUUCCUCUUGGAGAGGGUAGGGUGUAGGUUGUGGUGUAUUUGCAUAAUGCAGUUUUUGUGGCUCUUUGUAGUGUUGUUGUGACCUUUGUGAAUAUGCCUAAGGUAAGGUUUUUCGUGGAGAUGAAAUGACUUAUGGUCUUCUUGGUAAGUAAUGCCUUAUCUGAGUGUCCUUCCUGAUGGAGAUGCAAUUCCAAGUUCGAGUAGUCUUCAUGAUGGAGGGGGUUUUUGGUAGCAUGAUUGGUUAGUUUGGUUAAUUGUGAAAAUGUAUAGAUAUGGGCAACAUAGGAAGGUUGGUAGUUCUUUUCAUUUUAUUUCAUUUAAUUAAUGCAUUUGUGGAAUUUAAGCUCCCAUAAAACAAGAUGCUAUGAUUUUUAUGAUGUGAUUUAUAUGUCACAGCAUCUACCAAAUCUUCCCCUUCUCUUGAUGCACGAAAAGAUGUAUAGAUUGGUAGCUCACUGUCUCAGAAGGUGGUGCGGAACAUUUAACCAUUGCCAAGUAUUGUAGAUUGGUUAGUUUUCAGUAAUAUAUUACUGUCAAGUGUAGACUUCUCAACUGUAAUAGUGAGAAUUGUAGCGAUCGUGUAUUUUUUUGUCCAUUUUUUGCUUGCACUUAAUGCGAAAAAUAUGUGCCCUUUGUUGCAAGAAUUAUUUUGCUGAAGCUUAUUAUUAGAGGCUAAUCCAGUGCAUUGACAAUAGAUUCGAAUGAGAAAGCUGUUGGCUUGCCCUCUUCAAACCCGGUAAAAAUUCUAUAUUCAUGGGGAGCGCCCCUUUUGACCAAACCAAGGUUGUCUCCAUAUUCAGAUGCAUCAUUCCACCAAAACCGGAUUAAGGCAGCUUUUCAAAGAAUGGAAAUACAAAGACUAGAAGCAGCUGCUGAAGUUUUUUUUAAGAUUUUGUAUGAGAGUAGUAUAGAGUUGUAGAUAAUGCCCUUUUAUGUCUCAUGCCCGGUAGCAUGAAUGUUGUGAAUAUUGGGAAUUUUGUCUGUAAAUGUCCGAAUUACACCCUUGGAGAUGCCCUUUUAUUCUUGUAGUCUUUUGGAUGAUGUUGGUAAAGAGAAUUAACGUAUUUCCAUGUU